rnacentral:rRNA from 1 species
UGAACGCUGGCGACGUGGAUAAGGCAUGCAAGUCGAACGGUUGUAGCAAUACAACAGUGGCGAACGGGUUAGUAACACGUAGAUAUCAACCCUUUACUCGGGCAUAACCUGGAGAAAUCUAGGCUAAUUCCCGAUAGUCCGGAAACGGUAAAGAUUUUUCGGUAAAGGAUGAGUCUGCGUCCUAUCAGCUAGUUGGUGAGGUAAUGGCUCACCAAGGCAAUGACGGGUAGGCGGAGUGAGAGCUUGACCGCCAACAAUGGCACUGAGACACGGGCCAUACUCCUACGGGAGGCAGCAGUCGAGAAUAUUUGACAAUGGGCGAAAGCCUGAUCAAGCGACGUCGCGUGUGGGAUUAAGAUCUUCGGAUUGUAAACCACUUUUCUAGGGGAAGAACUUUGACUGUACCCUAGGAAUAAGGGGUGACUAAACUCGUGCCAGCAGUAGCGGUAAUACGAGUGCCCCAAGCGUUAUCCGGAUUUAUUGGGCGUAAAGGGUCUGUAGGUGGUUUGUUAAGUUUCUCGUUAAAGCUCCAGGGCUUAACCUUGGAAAAGCGGGAAAAACUGGCAAACUAGAGGAUGUUAGAGGCUGAUGGAACACUUGGUGAAGGGGUGGAAUCCGUUGAUAUCAAGUGGAACACCGAAAGCGAAAGCAAUCAGCUGGGACAGUCCUGACACUGAAAGACGAAAGCGUGGGGAGAGAAAAGGAUUAGAUACCCUUGUAUUCCACGCCUUAAACGAUGAAUACUAGCUAUUGCAAGUGUCGACCCUUGCAGUGGCGAAGCUAACGCGUUAAGUAUUCCGCCUGGGAAGUACGGCCGCAAGGCUAA